CGAACGCUGGCAGCGUGGAUAGGCAUGCAAGUCGGACGGGAUCGGGAGGAUAGCAAUAUUCUCCGUGAGAGUGGCGGAUUGGGGAGGAGCACGUGAGCAACCUGCCCUGGAGAUGUGGAAAACCUCGGGAAACUGAGGCUAAUACAGAAUGUGGCGCCCGCGGCAUCGCGGAGCGCCGAAGGGGGCCGCAAGGCUCCCGCUCCGGGAUGGGCUCGCGCACCAUCAGCUAGUUGGCGGGGUAACGCCCACCAAGGCCUACGGUUAGCUGGUCUGAGAGGAUGACCAGCCCCACUGGGACUGAGAUACUGCCCAGACUCCUACGGGAGGCUGCAGUCGAGGAUCAUUUGCAAUGGGCGAAAGCCUGACAAUGCGACGCUGCGUGGAGGAUGAAGGCCUUCGGGUUGUAAACUCCUGUCAUGGGGGAACAGGCGAGGGGAGUUAAUACCUCCCUUAGUUGAGUGUACCCCAAGAGGAAUUGGCGGCUAACUCUGUGCCAGCCGCCGC
rnacentral:rRNA from 1 species